UACGUAGGGGGCAAGCGUUGUCCGGAAUCAUUGGGCGUAAAGAGCGUGUAGGCGGCCAGAAAAGUCCGCUGUGAAAACUCGAGGCUCAACCUCGAGACGUCGGCGGAAACCAUCUGGCUAGAGUCCGGAAGAGGAGAGUGGAAUUCCUGGUGUAGCGGUGAAAUGCGCAGAUAUCAGGAAGAACACCCGUGGCGAAGGCGGCUCUCUGGGACGGUACUGACGCUGAGACGCGAAAGCGUGGGGAGCGAACAGG
rnacentral:rRNA from 1 species